AUUGAACGCUGGCGGCAGGCCUAACACAUGCAAGUCGAACGGUAACAGAAAGCAGCUUGCUGCUUUGCUGACGAGUGGCGGACGGGUGAGUAAUGUCUGGGAAACUGCCUGAUGGAGGGGGAUAACUACUGGAAACGGUAGCUAAUACCGCAUAACGUCGCAAGACCAAAGAGGGGGACCUUCGGGCCUCUUGCCAUCGGAUGUGCCCAGAUGGGAUUAGCUAGUAGGUGGGGUAACGGCUCACCUAGGCGACGAUCCCUAGCUGGUCUGAGAGGAUGACCAGCCACACUGGAACUGAGACACGGUCCAGACUCCUACGGGAGGCGGCAGUGGGGAAUAUUGCACAAUGGGCGCAAGCCUGAUGCAGCCAUGCCGCGUGUAUGAAGAAGGCCUUCGGGUUGUAAAGUACUUUCAGCGGGGAGGAAGGGAGUAAAGUUAAUACCUUUGCUCAUUGACGUUACCCGCAGAAGAAGCACCGGCUAACUCCGUG
rnacentral:rRNA from 1 species